GCCUUCUUGGUGUAAUGGUCAGCACACUCGGCGUACAUUCGAGAGGUCCGAGGUUCGAGUCCCGGCGAGGGCA
rfam:Stegodyphus mimosarum contig29174, whole genome shotgun sequence.